rnacentral:rRNA from 1 species
UAGAGGUUCUGAGAGGAAGGUCCCCCACACUGGUACUGAGACACGGACCAGACUCCUACGGGAGGCAGCAGUGAGGAAUAUUGGUCAAUGGGCGAGAGCCUGAACCAGCCAAGUCGCGUGAAGGAUGACGGCCCUACGGGUUGUAAACUUCUUUUGUCAGGGAGCAAUUGAGUCCACGUGUGGGCUUAGCGAGAGUACCUGAAGAAAAAGCAUCGGCUAACUCCGUGCAGCAGCCGCGGUAAUACGGAGGAUGCGAGCGUUAUCCGGAUUUAUUGGGUUUAAAGGGUGCGUAGGCGGAAUAUCAAGUCAGCGGUAAAAAUUCGGGGCUCAACCCCGUCGUGCCGUUGAAACUGAUGUUCUUGAGUGAGCGAGAAGUAUGCGGAAUGCGUGGUGUAGCGGUGAAAUGCAUAGAUAUCACGCAGAACUCCGAUUGCGAAGGCAGCAUACCGGCGCCCAACUGACGCUGAAGCACGAAAGCGUGGGUAUCGAACAGGAUUAGAUACCCUGGUAGUCCACGCAGUAAACGACCCAUAAUGGUUGUCCGGA